rnacentral:rRNA from 1 species
UAGGGAAUCUUCGGCAAUGGGGGGAACCCUGACCGAGCAACGCCGCGUGAGUGAAGAAGGUUUUCGGAUCGUAAAGCUCUGUUGUUAAGGAAGAACGAGUGUGAGAAUGGAAAGUUCAUACUGUGACGGUACUUAACCAGAAAGGGACGGCUAACUACGUGCCAGCAGCCGCGGUAAUACGUAGGUCCCGAGCGUUGUCCGGAUUUAUUGGGCGUAAAGCGAGCGCAGGCGGUUAGAUAAGUCUGAAGUUAAAGGCAGUGGCUCAACCAUUGUAGGCUUUGGAAACUGUUUAACUUGAGUGCAGAAGAGGAGAGUGGAAUUCCAUGUGUAGCGGUAAAAUGCGUAGAUAUAUAGAGGAUCACCGGUGGCGAAAGCGGCUCUCUGGUCUGUAACUGACGCUGAGGCUCGAAAGCGUGGGGAGCGAACAGG